AUCCAACCCACAUACCAGCAUCCAAAACAUAACUUCACAACAUACAAUAAUCAAGAACUGACCUAAAUUAAAAAUCAAAAACAUGAUCCUUUUUAGUUUUACAAAAUCACAAACCUGAUGAAUAAAAGAGAGAUAUCAUGCUUUUGAUUAAUCAAUAAGUAAUUACACACAUAAAACUAACAAAAUCACAAUACACUUCCUAAAGAACCUGGUGAAUAAAAGAGAUAUCAUGCUAAGUAAUUAAAAUGACUAAAACAUGACCAAAACUUAAGUAAUUAAAAUGGUUUUAGCUAGCUAGAAUACAUCCUAACCAACUUAAGU
rnacentral:lncRNA from 1 species